UACGUAGGGUGCAAGCGUUAAUCGGAAUUACUGGGCGUAAAGCGUGCGCAGGCGGUUUUGUAAGUCUGUCGUGAAAGCCCCGGGCUCAACCUGGGAAUUGCGAUGGAGACUGCAAGGCUUGAAUCUGGCAGAGGGGGGUAGAAUUCCACGUGUAGCAGUGAAAUGCGUAGAGAUGUGGAGGAACACCGAUGGCGAAGGCAGCCCCCUGGGUCAAGAUUGACGCUCAUGCACGAAGCGUGGGGAGCAAACAGG
rnacentral:rRNA from 1 species